AGUCUUCGGACCUCGCGCUAUUGGAUGAGCCUGCGUCGGAUUAGCUUGUUGGUGAGGUAAAGGCUCACCAAGGCGACGAUCCGUAGCUGGUCUGAGAGGAGUGAUCAGCCACACGUGGGACUGAGACACCGGCCCAGACUCCGUACGGGAGCAGCAGGUGGGGAAUAUUGCGCAAUGGGGGCAACCCUGACGCAGCCAUGCCGCGUGUGUGAAGAAGGCCCUAGGGUUGUAAAGCACUUUCAAUAGGGAGAAAAGGCCCACGGUUAAUACCCGUGGGAGUUGAUGUUACCUAUAGAAGAAGCACCGGCUAACUCCGUG
rnacentral:rRNA from 1 species